UUCCGGUUGAUCCUGCCGGAUCCUACUGCUAUCGGGAUGAGACUAAAACAUGCUAGUUGUGCGCACCUUAGCUACGUUAGGAGCGCAGCGAACGGCUCCGUAACACGUUGUCAAUCUAACCUUAGGAUGGGAAUAACCCCGGGAAACUGGGGCUAAUACCUGAUAGGCGAAAAAUUCUGGAAUGAUUUUUCACUCAAAGAGUUAUAGGAACAUGCUUCUUUAACUGCCUAAGGAUGAGACUGCGUCCGAUCAGGUUGUUGGUGGGGUGAUGGCCUACCAAGCCUAUUACCGGUACGGGCCCUGAGAGGGGGAGCCCGGAGAUGGGAACUGAGACAAGGUCCCAGACCCUAAGGGGUGCAGCAGUUGCGAAACCUCUACAAUGCACGAAAGUGUGAUAGGGUUAUCCCGAGUGCCGUCCGAUGAGGAUGGCUUUUCCUUGGUGUAAGGAGCCAUUGGAAUAAAGGGGGGGCAAGACUGGUGUCAGCCGCCGCGGUAAUACCAGCCCCCUGAGUGGUAGGGAUGAUUAUUUGGCCUAAAGCGUCCGUAGCCGGCUUAGCAAGUCUUUCGUUAAAUCCGGUGACUUAAUCAUCGAGCCGCGAGAGAUACUACUAGGCUUGAGGGCGGGAGAGGUCGACGGUAUUCCGGGGGUAGGGGUAAGAUCCUAUAAUCCUCGGAGGACCACCAGUGGCGAAGGCGGUCGACUAGAACGUGCCUGACGGUGAUGGACGAAAGCUGGGGGAGCAAACCGGAUUAGACACCCGGGUAGUCCCAGCUGUAAACGAUGCGGGCUAGGUGUUGGGUCAGCUACGAGCUGCUCCAGUGCCGAAGAGAAGUCAUUAAGCCCGCCGCCUGGGAAGUACGGCCGCAAGACUGAAACUUAAAGGAAUUGGCGGGGGAGCACCACAAGGGGUGAAGCCUGCGGUUCAAUUGGACUCAACGCCGGU
rnacentral:rRNA from 1 species